AUUGAACGCUGGCGGCAGGCCUAACACAUGCAAGUCGAACGAGUGGCGGACGGGUGAGUAAUGUCUGGGAAACUGCCUGAUGGAGGGGGAUAACUACUGGAAACGGUAGCUAAUACCGCAUACCAUCGGAUGUGCCCAGAUGGGAUUAGCUAGUAGGUGGGGUAAAGGCUCACCUAGGCUACGAUCCCUAGCUGGUCUGAGAGGAUGACAAACCAAAUUGGAACUGAGCAAGGGUCCAGACUCCUACGGGAGGCAGCAGUGGGGAACAUUGCACAAUGGGGGCAAGCCGGAUGAAGCAAUGCCGAGUGUAUGACGAAGGUCUUGGGGUGGUAAAGUACUUUCAGCGGGGAGGCGUUACGCGCAGAAGAAGCACCGGCUAACUCCGUGCCAGCAGCCGCGGUAAUUC
rnacentral:rRNA from 1 species